CCAUAAUCUUGAGCAAAUUUGUGGAAGGCCAAUAAUGAUGGUUAGGUUGGGCCAAUUCAUCAUUGCCACAAUUGUACUAUCAAGCUAAAGAAACAACAUGGCUAUGAUAGGCAACCUAAUUUUGACUUCUCAAACAAUUGAUGAGUAGAUAAAAUACCUUAUUCAUUAAGGACUUGGAAGUGGAGGGGGCGUUCGUGAGUCCAAAAGGCAUUAUCAUCAAUUUGAAAUUGCUUAUGCUGGGUUUGGAAAGUCAUUUCAAUGUCAAUGGCCUGCAUUUCGAUUUGGUGGUAACCAGAGUAGAGAUCAAGAUUUGUCAGAUAGUGAGCGCCAAAUAAUUCCUCUAAGAGCUUGUCUGACUGAAAUUGGGAAUUUGUCCUUGAUCUGCUUUGACAUUCAUGAUUCAACACUCUAUAAUCCACACAUGAAUGCCAAAUAUUAUCUGCCUCGGGCACAAUAAGACUGGUCAGG
rnacentral:misc_RNA from 1 species